CGCGAAUAGCUCAUUACAACAGCCUUAGUUUAUUGGAUCUUAGAGUCCUACUUGGAUAACUGUGGUAAUUCUAGAGCUAAUACACGCAAUUAAUCCUCAACCUUACGGGCGAGGAGCAUUUAUUAGAACAAAACCAAUCGGCUUCGGCCGUAUCUGGUGAAUCUGAAUAACUACGCUGAUCGCAUGGUCUCGUACCGGCGACAUAUCCUUCAAGUGUCUGCCUUAUCAACUGUCGAUGGUAGUUUACACGCCUACCAUGGUUGUAACGGGUAACGGAGAAUAAGGGUUCGACUCCGGAGAGGGAGCCUGAGAAACGGCUACCACAUCCAAGGAAGGCAGCAGGCGCGCAAAUUACCCACUCUCAGAACGAGGAGGUAGUGACGAAAAAUAACGAGACAGUUCUCUAUGAGGUCUGUCAUCGGAAUGGGUACAAUUUAAACCCUUUAACGAGGAUCUAUUGGAGGGCAAGUCUGGUGCCAGCAGCCGCGCUAAUUCCAGCUCCAAUAGCGUAUAUUAAAGUUGUUGCGGUUAAAAAGCUCGUAGUUGGAUCUGCGGUCGUAGACUCUGGUUCCCUCCUAGGGAUACUAGCUGUCUCGACCUACCUUGUUAGAUUUCCCUUGGUGCUCUUUACUGAGUGCCUUGGGUGUCUAGCUCGUUUACUUUGAAAAAAUUAGAGUGCUUAAAGCAGGCAUUUGCCUGAAUAGUGGUGCAUGGAAUAAUGGAAUAGGACCUCGGUUCUAUUUUGUUGGUUUUCGGAGCAUGAGGUAAUGAUUAAGAGGGACAGACGGGGGCAUUCGUACUGCUACGUUAGAGGUGAAAUUCUUGGAUCGUAGCAUGACGAACAACUGCGAAAGCAUUUGCCAAGAAUGUUUUCAUUAAUCAAGAACGAUAGUUAGAGGUUCGAAGGCGAUCAGAUACCGCCC
rnacentral:rRNA from 1 species